ensembl:snRNA U6 U6 spliceosomal RNA
GUGCUCGCUUCAGCAGUAAACAGACCAAAACGGGUGUGACACAGAGAAGGUUAGCUUGGCCCUGCACAAGGAUGACACACAAAUUCAUGAAGCAUUCCAUAUUUUG